rnacentral:rRNA from 1 species
GACGAACGCUGGCGGCGUGCUUAACACAUGCAAGUCGAACGGAAAGGCCCUGCUUUUGUGGGGUGCUCGAGUGGCGAACGGGUGAGUAACACGUGAGUAACCUGCCCUUGACUUUGGGAUAACUUCAGGAAACGGGGGCUAAUACCGGAUAGGAGCUCCUGCUGCAUGGUGGGGGUUGGAAAGUUUCGGCGGUUGGGGAGGGACUCGCGGCUUAUCAGCUUGUUGGUGGGGUAGUGGCUUACCAAGGCUUUGACGGGUAGCCGGCCUGAGAGGGUGACCGGCCACAUUGGGACUGAGAUACGGCCCAGACUCCUACGGGAGGCAGCAGUGGGGAAUAUUGCACAAUGGGCGGAAGCCGGAUGCAGCAACGCCGCGUGCGGGAUGACGGCCUUCGGGUUGUAAACCGCUUUCGCCUGUGACGAAGCGUGAGUGACGGUAAUGGGUAAAGAAGCACCGGCUAACUACGUG